CUAUCAGGUGAUCAAAUCUGGUCAGAGACAGAGUGAAAAAUUAGUUAAAAGAGAGGAGUAAAAGCUUCAAGUCUUACAUAAUGAAGUCUGCUGCUGGUUGCUUUCCCUAUUGCACUUGUUUCUGUUUUCUGACCAUUUUGGACCUAAGGGGGUGGAGAGCAGAUGCAUGGCUUCUGCAAGUAUCAGGAUGUACUCAUGGUCUCCAUGGAUUACCUCCUCAUACUUUGAAGUUGUUAAACCAUUUUAGCUGAAACUUAAAAGGAGAAAAAAGAAGGAUUCAGCCUGAGGCAAACAAGCAGAUAAAGCCUGCCAACUAUGAACAUCCGAAAUCAAGAUCUUGGACUAUUUGCAGCUGUUGGAUUCAUUGCCAGCUCUACUAGUACUAAGUGCUAGUAAGGGACACAGUGGAGCUGGUUUUCAGUUUUUCUCUUCUGAGGCUGCCCAGGACUGUUAGUCCAAAGUGUAGGCUAGAAGAGCCACUGGAUGACAUAUUGCAUCAGACUCUUAAGAUACAACACCUAGGUCAAAGAAUAACCAGGAACAGCUGUUACUUCUGGUAGAGAAGAAAUUAAGUUGACACUCCCCACUGUACAAAGGAGCCAUUAGAGUUACACAGAUGCAAAAAUUUAAUUUAAGAACUAAC